rnacentral:tRNA from 1 species
GCCUGGGUGGCUCAGUGGGUAAAGCUUCUGACUUCAGCUCAGGUCAUGAUCUCGGGGUCCUGGGAUCGAGCCCCACAUCGGGCC